AUUGAACGCUGGCGGCAUGCCUUACACAUGCAAGUCGAACGGUAACGCGGGGCAACCUGGCGACGAGUGGCGAACGGGUGAGUAAUAUAUCGGAACGUGCCCAGUGGUGGGGGAUAGCCCGGCGAAAGCCGGAUUAAUACCGCAUACGAUCUAUGGAUGAAAGCGGGGGAUCGCAAGACCUCGCGCGAUUGGAGCGGCCGAUAUCAGAUUAGGUAGUUGGUGGGGUAAAAGCUCACCAAGGCUACGAUCCGUAACUGGUCUGAGAGGACGACCAGUCACACUGGGACUGAGACACGGCCCAGACACCUACGGGUGGCAG
rnacentral:rRNA from 1 species